rnacentral:rRNA from 1 species
AAAAACGUCCAUACCACGUUGAAUAUACCGGCUCUGCUCCGAUCAACGAAGUUAAGCAACGUCGGGCGCGGUAAGUACUUGGAUGGGUGACCGCCUGGGAACACCGCGUGACGUUGGUU